UCGAGAAUCUUCGGCAAUGGGCGCAAGCCUGACCGAGCGACGCCGCGUGGAGGAAGAAGGCCUUCGGGUUGUAAACUCCUGUUGGGGGGGACCAAUUUAAUUGAGGGAUCCCCUGAGGAAGCACGGGCUAAGUUCGUGCCAGCAGCCGCGGUAAGACGAACCGUGCGAACGUUAUUCGGAAUCAUUGGGCUUAAAGCGCGCGUAGGCGGCGGCGUAAGCGGGGGGUGAAAGGCUAUCGGCUCAACCGUGGCAUGGCUCUCCGGACUGCGUCGCUUGAGGGGGACAGGGGCACGCGGAACUUCCAGUGGAGCGGUGAAAUGUGUUGAGAUUGGAAGGAACGCCAGUGGCGAAAGCGGCGUGCUGGAUCUCUCCUGACGCUGAGGCGCGAAAGCUAGGGGAGCAAACGG
rnacentral:rRNA from 1 species